GUCACUCAAAGAGUCCCAAUCAACUUGGACUCUUCCAAAUUGACUCCAGAAUUAAUUUUUUUUAAUUUUGAUGAAUUCAUAAGUCAAGAUUGAUAUCUAACAAUAUGUCAUGACUACUUGAAAGAUUUAAAAUUUUGAUAAAAAAUUAUCAAAAUAUCCUUCAGUGGCAAGUUCUCAUGUAAUUUAAUCUUUCAAUCAAACAACAUCCCAGAUG
rnacentral:lncRNA from 1 species